rnacentral:tRNA from 1 species
GAGAGAGUAUACGUGCAGAGUAUCCUGGGACUUCUAAUCCUUUAGGUAGGAGGUUUGCGUCCUCCCUUUCUUU